GAGAUUGGGGAGCAGGUAGGUCUGUCCUCGGAUAUCAGGGUUGGUCUCGGGAAGGCAAUGUUUGAGCUGUGUGUGUCGGGGGAGGGAGAGUUGAUGAAAUCAGCACCUGGUCUGAAGAUGGGUCUCAACCCGAAACGUCACCUAUUCCUUUUCUCCAAAUAUGCUGCCUGACCCACUGUGUUUGUAGGUUAAUUGACUGUGUUACUUUUUAUGUUUAUCUUCGUCUUAAACCAUCAUCUCCAGUUACUUCCUACACCUGGUUGUAACUGUAGGCUUGCGGCCCAAGGAGGAGGUUUUCACUGGAGAUUGUAGAUUGUCCUGUCAAGUUGUGCAGUGUCAUUUCCCCUGGUUAAUGUAAUGCUAGCAGGCUCCUGUUACAGCGAGUGUAGAGGUAAAUAUUUGUGCCUCUUGUAUAAAUUAUAUUACAGUGUGCUAAUCCUGCCCCUUCCAUUCACAAUGCCUCAGUUUGCUUCCUCUUGCCUCUUCCUCUGACGGGGUGACCUGUCCGUGUUAGUUUCCAAGCCCAAGAUCACAAGAGACUGGAUCUGGUGCUGCGGAAUGUGUUUGCUGACAGAUCGGAACUGAUCUUCCCCUGGAAUAUUACUCUGGUGUCCUGUCUGUGAAUUCUUCUGCCUGUUUCUCUUGAGUAUGAAGUGUGGCACUGUUUACGUUGACGUUUAAUUGCAUAGACUGCAGUUCCUAGUUUCUAUGUGACUUUAUAUAUCUCUGAAGGUGUGUUUUGGACAGUGGCCUAUGGUGUCCAGAAAGUCAAUGUUUUGUUUGUUAGUGGUACACAAAAAUGCUGGAGAAAUUCAGCGGGUGCAGCAGCAUCUGUGGAGCGAAGGAAAUAGGCAACGUUUCGGGCCAAAACCCUUCUUCAGACUGGAGUUUUGUUUGGUGGUUUUAACCUUGGUGGUGUGUGUGAAAGAUGUGAAUGAAUUCCUCUCACUCUGUUUCUGAAAGUGUCCACAUUGACAAAUGUCAUCCAGUUUUCUGUGAAAAGACAUUGAUUUGCUGGGCCACUUCUGGACCAAAGCCUCGUCUUGUCUGUCAGGGUCAGUGUUUUUCUCUGAGAUAUUUUUCACUGUUGUAUGUUCCUGUCUGUUCUGUUUGUGGACGGGCUUCGAUAUCCAUGGUAUGGCAUCAGGGGGCACAGUCAGGGAGUGUGCUGUGGUCUGGUGCUGCUGUGCCAGUGGAUUAAGAAAGGAGUUAAUUUAUUCUGCUACCCGAUAGGAUUCACUACCACAGUCACACACAAUGGGCCUUCCUGGACGUAUUUCCCCAGGUUCUGUCCAGGUGUUUGUGUAUUUUGGGGAGAUUGGAGAAUUUUCUCGCUCAUGCUUCUAUCCCUCCCCCCCUGAGGUAUUCUAAUUGUUUCUGAUGAUGUGGAGUUUGUACGUUCCCACUGUGACCCGAGUGGGUUUACUCUGGGACGUUCCGGUUUCCACCCACACUCCAAAGACGUACAGGUUUGUAGGUUAUUUGACUUGGUAUCAAUGUAAAUUGUCCCUUGUGUGUGUGUGUAGGAUUGUGUUAGUGUGCGGGGAUACUUAAUCGCAAAAUUUUCUAUCUCCCCCUCGAAUAUUCUAAUUGUUUCUGAUAAUGUGGCAAGAUUUUUUGCGACAUUCUGACAUGUCUCCAAUUUCCUUGUUUCCUUCUAAAUGGGCUUUGUCAUCUUAGUGCAGUGUUCAGUUUUACAUCAGGGUCGAUGUGCCUCCAAUAAAUAUUGUUGUUUGCCCAUGACCACUCUGUUCUUUCCCCUUAACUACUUGUUUGAUGAUAAUUUCCCUGUUGUCUUUCACUUCUCCCAGGAGUUGGGUUUCACAAGCCAAGUUUACUGCUGAGGACGAGAGCCAGAAGCUGCUGAUGGAGGGAAAAGACAAGGCCAGCAAUGGAUAUUUUAAAGGAAAAGAGCAUUUUGAUCCAAGUCACAAUUGCUGGCUCUGCCAAUCAAGUCGCCAGAAUCGGGGUGACGUCGGUCUGAAGAGAAGAGAGUGAGCUGCACGUCAACCACAGCGAGUACCACACCGCUAAGAUUCCACACAGGACCUCGAUCUCAACGCAGCUUCCUGCUCCCUCGACGGGACGAGUCAGGAAAGGUUUCCAUUGCUGAGAUCCUUCACCACCACCCGAGCAGCGUGUCAAUCCCCUACUCCAACGGCACUCUGCGUGGCCAUCGCAAUGGAGAUGGUGAGCAGAAUUUUCUUCUGGAAUACGAGUUACGUUGCCUGUCGGUCUCGAUCCGUAAAAAGACUCAAGGACUCAAAUCAUUAAUCGUCAGCUAUUGAUUUAUUUUACUUGCGCAAGGGGAGAUGUGUCUCAGUCAAAGGGUGUGAUCAUAUUUUCAAUGUUAGUCGGCUUAGCAGGAUAUUUAUACACUAAGGUGAUGACUUUUGAUGAUGUGAAGUAGAUCAAUGUGUUAAUCAUCAGGUCUGCUUGUGAUAUACACAAAGACCAUGGCUUUUGAUAUUAAUGUUAAUUAGAUCAAUGUGUUAUUCACGUUGCUGAGUUUACAUCAAUCACCCAGGUUGUACAAUAUUGUUAACUUGCCCAUUCGGCUUUGCACCACUCAAGGUUUUACUUCUAUGUGAAAAUGUUUAACUGAGGAACAUAGAAACAAAGAAAAUAGGUGCAGGAGGAGGCCAUCCAGCCCUUCAAGCCAGCACCGCCAUUCAUUGUGAUCAUGGCUGAUUGGCCCCUAUCAAUAACCCGUGCCUGCCUUCUCCCCAUAUCCCUUGACUCCACUAGCCCCUAGAGCUCUAUCUAACUCUCUCUUAAAUCCAUCCAGUGACGUGGCCUCCACUGCCCUCUGUGGCAGGGAAUUCCACAAAUUCACAACUCUCUGGGUGAAAAUGUUUUUUUUUCCUCACCUCAGUCUUAAAUGGCAUCCCCUUUAUUC